AUAGCUCUUUAUUCCCUGUGCUCGGUGGCAAUGCUGAGAAUGGGUAUGAAGCAUCCUGUUUUGGACCCAAGACUGAUGAGAUGCUUCAAACCAGAAAUUCUUUACAAUUUACAGGUUUGUGCUGUCUCAGUGUCUGGAUUUGAACCAACUCCCAAAAUGAAAUAUCAUCAAAAGCCUCAAACAUGACCUUCUUUUGCAUCAAACUGUGCGGUCAUGAGUUUGCUGUGAUUUUAAUGCAAACCAUAAACGGGCACAACUUUGCACAAAAGAGUGCAAUGGCUCCCUGCAUGUUUGAAGCCUUUCGACACACCUCUUCCAAGUUUCAAGGCUGUAAGUAACCUAGGACACACACUAACACCAUGGCAACUUGCCUAGGGUUUCAGCCGCUCUUGUGGCACUGGGGCAGGAGGUGUGCCACUGUCAACUGAUUCACUUCACACUGACACAGCUGUGGCUGACACAAGAAUCUGGAGUAUUACUAGAUCAUAGAAUAUCAGGGGUGGAAGGGACCUCAGGAGAUCAUCUAGUCCAACUCAUCUGUUCACAAGCCAGCUUCAAGCCAGUGCAUUUCUACUGGUUUCAGAUGGCACCACUACCAGGCCUGAACCAAGGCCCAUGCAAGACAAAGGGAGUCUUUCCAUGGACGUCAAUGGCUUUGGAUCAGGCCCUCAGUGCAGUCUGUUACUAGUAGCGCACUGCUGUGUCCACAAUGGGUAAGAGAGGCUGGCCUGGGACUUGAUCCCAGAGCCCCAUGGACAGAUCCCAACUGUUCGCAUUUCACACUGAAAUCCUGCGUGACUGG